AGAAUCAAUGCUGGCGGCGUGCCUAACACAUGCAAGUCGAACGAGAAAGUGGAGCAAUCCAUGAGUAAAGUGGCGCACGGGUGAGUAACACGUGACUAACCUACCCUUGAGUGGGGGAUAACCUAGGGAAACCUGGGCUAAUACCGCAUAAUACCUUCGGGUCAAAGGAGCAAUUCGCUUUAGGAGGGGGUCGCGGCCGAUUAGUUAGUUGGCGGGGUAAUGGCCCACCAAGACUGUGAUCGGUAUCCGGCCUGAGAGGGCGCACGGACACACUGGAACUGAAACACGGUCCAGACUCCUACGGGAGGCAGCAGUGGGGAAUUUGCGCAAUGGGGGAAACCCUGACGCAGCAACGCCGCGUGGAGGAUGAAGCCCCUUGGGGCGUAAACUCCUUUCGAUCGGGACGAUAAUGACGGUACCGAGAGAAGAAGCCCCGGCUAACUUCGCGCCAGCAGCCGC
rnacentral:rRNA from 1 species